AUGCACGCUGGCGGCGUGCCUCAUCCCUGCAAGUCGAGCGAACAGACGAGGAGCUUGCUCCUCUGACGUUAGCGGCGGACGGGUGAGUAACACGUGGAUAACCUACCUAUAAGACUGGGAUAACUUCGGGAAACCGGAGCUAAUACCGGAUAAUAUAUUGAACCGCAUGGUUCAAUAGUGAAAGACGGUUUUGCUGUCACUUAUAGAUGGAUCCGCGCCGCAUUAGCUAGUUGGUAAGGUAACGGCUUACCAAGGCAACGAUGCGUAGCCGACCUGAGAGGGUGAUCGGCCACACUGGAACUGAGACACGGUCCAGACUCCUACGGGAGGCAGCAGUAGGGAAUCUUCCGCAAUGGGCGAAAGCCUGACGGAGCAACGCCGCGUGAGUGAUGAAGGUCUUCGGAUCGUAAAACUCUGUUAUUAGGGAAGAACAAAUGUGUAAGUAACUAUGCACGUCUUGACGGUACCUAAUCAGAAAGCCACGGCUAACUACAUG
rnacentral:rRNA from 1 species